GUACACGCUGUGACUAGCAUAUCAAUAAGCGGAGGAAAAGAAACUAACAAGGAUUCCCCUAGUAACGGCGAGUGAAGCGGGAAGAGCUCAAAUUUGAAAUCUUAAAGGGUUUCCCUUUACGAAUUGUAGUUUAAAGAAGUGUUUUCUGUUGAGGUUUUGGUAAAAGUUCUUUGGAAUAGGACAUCAUAGAGGGUGAGAAUCCCGUAUUUGACCUUUACUUUCAACUUUGUGAUACACUUUCAAAGAGUCGGAUUGUUUGGGAAUGCAGUCCAAAAUGGGUGGUAAAUUUCAUCUAAAGCUAAAUAUUGGCGAGAGACCGAUAGCGAACAAGUACCGUGAGGGAAAGAUGAAAAGAACUUUGAAAAGAGAGUUAAACAGUACGUGAAAUUAUCAAAAGGGAAGCGUUUGACACCAGUGUUGUUUUUCUGAAAAUCAAUUAAAGAACUGUUUAUGCUAAGCUUGUUUAGACUUUAUCAGCUAACUGUUUAGUUUUGAGCUUUUCUUUCAAUGCACUUUCCAGUUAACAAGUCAACAUCAAUUUCUUUUGCUGUAAAAAAGCUUGAGGAAGGUGGCUUGAGAUUCGUCUUAAGUGUUUAUAGCCUCUUGCCUAUGCAGUCGGAGAGAUUGAGGUCUGCAGCGUAGAUCCUUCGGGGCUAAAUGCAUUUGUGCUAAGUUAUAGCAUUUUAUAGACAACUUGUUGACUAUGAUUUGUCUUGUAGCUUACUCGCUUAUGUUAUUUUACCUACGCUUAGGAUGUUGAGUCGUAGAGCACGCAG
rnacentral:rRNA from 1 species